GAGUUUGAUCCUGGCUCAGAACGAACGCUGGCGGCGUGCUUAACACAUGCAAGUCGAACGUGAUCCGGAGCUUGCUCCGGUGAAAGUGGCGCACGGGUGAGUAACGCGUGGAUAAUCUGCCCUGGUAUCUGGGAUAACAUCUCGAAAGGGGUGCUAAUACCGGAUAAGCCUACGGACUCUUCGGAGUCUGCAGGAAAAGGUGGCCUCUAUUUAUAAGCUACCGUAUCAGGAUGAGUCCGCGUACCAUUAGCUAGUUGGUGGGGUAAUGGCCCACCAAGGCUACGAUGGUUAGCUGGUCUGAGAGGAUGAUCAGCCACACUGGAACUGAGACACGGUCCAGACUCCUACGGGAGGCAGCAGUGGGGAAUUUUGCGCAAUGGGGGAAACCCUGACGCAGCAACGCCGCGUGAGUGAUGAAGGCUUUCGGGUCGUAAAGCUCUGUCAGAGGGGAAGAAAUGAGUCUGGCUAAUAUCCAGAUUUCUUGACGGUACCCUCAAAGGAAGCACCGGCUAACUCCGUGCCAGCAGCCGCGGUAAUAC
rnacentral:rRNA from 1 species